UUGCACGCGCACAGUCCCUCUUUAAGUAUCUCGGUCUUCGAAUCAAAGCAUCAAACUAAAAAAUUCUCUCUCAAACUUGAAGGAGAGCUUAAACAUUCAUCAAUGGACUGGAAGAGCACAGAGCAAGCAUCGAUGGAGCGUCACGCACCGAAUCACUCCUCCUCCACCUCCUCAUCAAUUCCUGCAACUGAAAACACUGUUUGGGCCGACGCGUCGCCUCUCCUUGAAACCGUUUGUAAAGAAUUACGCGACGGUGAGCUAAUUCAUGGCGAGAAUUUCAACCUAUAUGCUGCAAUGUCUGCUCUAGAGAUUAUGGACCCGAAGAUGGAUUCUGGAAUCAUCAACAAGUAUGCUUCAGUUGAUGAAGCGAUCGAAGACGGUUUGGCUCCUGUACCUAUUGGCCUUGACAAAACUGUUGAUGUUCAGUGCAUCAUUGACAUCAUCGACCAACUCUUAGCGUGUGAGGCAACAUGGCACAAGGGUCACUCGUUGGCACAGACUGUUUUUUCAUGCGCCUACCUUCUGAGACCAGAGAGGACAUUAUCACAUGCCCUAUUGGAUUCUUAUUGCAAAGUCAUCCGUGCAACGUGCAAGGCAGUGACUUCAAUUGUCUCAGAUGCACGCACACAUGAAGAAGAGGAUCUGUUUACAAUGGCUUAUGGUCUUCCUCUGAACGUGGAAGGAGAUGAAAAGUGCUUGUCGUUGUUAAAUGCUGUCGAAGAGAAUAUUUCUCGCCAGCUGCGAGCUUGCAAAGCUCUGCCCUCCAAAAGAAAACCGUUAGAGGAUAUAGAGCCUCUACAAAAUAAUUUUGAUCUGGAAGAAGGCUACUGCAAAGCAUUGUUAUGCCGCUUACGCUUUCGUAAGCACUUUUGCCAUGUUUUAACCUGCAUGAGGCGACCUCAAGGAAGAGGUCUAGAAUUGGCAAGAAAACAUAUAGCUUCCUGCAUUUCAGAGCUAGGAAGCAUUCUUAACUCUGCAGAAUUCCUAAUGUCUAAUGCCUAUGGAACUUGCGAAGAUGGUACAGAAGAUAGAACAACUGCUUCUGGCCGUCAAGCUAUUGGGUUUGAUGCUAAUUUAAACAGCAGAAUUUCAGCCCCAACUCCACCACGUUCAAUUAAAAUUCUUAGUUGGAAAAAGGCCAUCGAGUAUUUUGAAAAACUUCUUCAUCAUCUAGAUAUCAUAUGCUCAUACCUGUUGGACCCUUCUUUGGAUGUUCUUUUGCGCUUUGUGGCUCAAUUUCAAAAAGCACAACCUGAUUUGGUUGCAAGAGUGCAUCUCCAGCUUCUGUUGGUUCAAGAUGGAAAACUCUAUGGGCGGUAUCCUAUCUUAGCUGUGAUUAUUAGAGCUGCACGGUUGCCUGAGGUCAUUAUGCGCCAUGAUAUUCAGAAGAAUGAAUAUGUUGUGCAGUUAGGACAGAUAGUGAUCAACAUGCUCAAGGUUCUUUGCACAAAUGCUGCAUGGCAGAGGCGUAAACUUGGAAAGAUUUUACAAGAUUGGCGGGCUAUCUAUGUACAGCUAGAGCUUGCAUUCAGAAAGGAGUUUGGAGAAGGCUCGAGCAUUUCAAAUGGCGAGAAUGCAUCAGCAGGAAUAUUAAAACACAUCCUCAUUUGGGUGGAGGAGCAAACUUAUUGGAUUGCCCAUCGAUUUCUCGUUCUUGGUUUCGAAUUGGAGCUCUAUUCUCCCAGCGAAUAUUGCAUGGUGUAUUGGUAUUUAUAUGUUGUCUUGAUCAGGCUUGCAGAGAAAACACAUCUGAAGAUGACAGUGAGUGAUGGCAGUGCUAAACAGAAGGGAAAGAAAAGAAAGGAUUCUCCGAAAGAUCUGGCAAGAGAAGCUCGGAUCCCACCAGCAAUCUCGUUUCUUCAAUGCCAAAUAUGUCUUGCUGAGGGGCUCGCACUGCUACUCGCUGCUCUGAGGAAUGAACUGAUGGUCUUACAAUCUCCCAGCCCGUUUAAUUCUGAACAUGAGAGGUUUAUACAGCAUUUUGAACUUCUACAAAAAGCUUGUAUCCCUGAUCUCAUUUCAUACCCCUCAUUCAAGGAAUCCACUUCCCAUGCUCGCUUCUCCAGUUUGGUUAUGUAUAAUUACUUCAAGGAUGCACAGAAGAUUGCAAAGGAGGUCAAGAGUAGUUUUCUUAAUGACCCAGACAGAUUAGCUGAACUUUGCAUAUUGGAGCAGGUUGCAGAGCACAAUAGUGUUGCCCUAAAUGUGAUUUCCCGAGUCGGAGCUCUUGACCCGUCCCUCAAGGUUUCUUUCGAGUUCAUCCACCACCCAUGUUUUGCCACUGUUGUUGUCAAGAGAUCUUGAAGAUCGCUAAUUGCACCAUGGGAGGCCCCCCAAGUUUACAACAUUGGGCUGAGCUUUUUCAGCUGAAAAGACGACCAAACCCAUUUUAGUAAAAUAAAAUCUAGUGAUAGCCUUCAGGCCGAAGUAGAGAGUGUGCUUUUAAGAUCAUUCGAGGGACCUGAGACUUUCUAGAAUGCUUCGAUCUUCGCACCAAACAGAGAGCCCUGCCAAAAUCAAAUCUUGGACGUCCGGAAAGUGAUCAAACGGCUACAAUUUUUUUCAGCGUAAUUUAAGGUGUGCCAGAAAGUGGAGACCGCUAUCAACGUCACUUUCAAAUAAAUUCUUUACUUGGAUAGAUUUUUUUAUUAGAAUCUUUACUUCGAUAGGUAAAACGAAUUUGUUUUUAUUCUAUGGUUUUGGAUCCGGGCUUAACAUCAAAUUGUUAGAAAAAAAUAAUUCAUGAAUAUAUUAAUUUAAAAACAAAUGGAUGGCUUUAAGAA